rnacentral:ncRNA from 1 species
AGCAACAAUCAACAACAUUACGAUAUAGCAUGGGUUGGCUAAGACAAACCUCUUUGCUAGGUGUCACAUACCCGGUGCUUGAAGGUUGGAAGGAGAAGUGUGAUAAGCUUCGAAUGGAAGCCUCGGUAAACGACGAUAGUAACUCUAACUAUCCUAAGGUAGAGAAAUUCCUUGUCGCAUAAGUAGCGACCUGCACAAAUGGUGUAACGACU